rnacentral:rRNA from 1 species
GGUGAGUAAUGUCUGGGAAACUGCCCGAUGGAGGGGGAUAACUACUGGAAACGGUAGCUAAUACCGCAUAACGUCGCAAGACCAAAGAGGGGGACCUUCGGGCCUCUUGCCAUCGGAUGUGCCCAGAUGGGAUUAGCUAGUAGGUGGGGUAACGGCUCACCUAGGCGACGAUCCCUAGCUGGUCUGAGAGGAUGACCAGCCACACUGGAACUGAGACACGGUCCAGACUCCUACGGGAGGCAGCAGUGGGGAAUAUUGCACAAUGGGCGCAAGCCUGAUGCAGCCAUGCCGCGUGUAUGAAGAAGGCCUUCGGGUUGUAAAGUACUUUCAGCGAGGAGGAAGGCGUUGUGGUUAAUAACCGCAACGAUUGACGUUACUCGCAGAAGAAGCACCGGCUAACUCCGUGCCAGCAGCCGCGGUAAUACGGAGGGUGCAAGCGUUAAUCGGAAUUACUGGGCGUAAAGCGCACGCAGGCGGUCUGUCAAGUCGGAUGUGAAAUCCCCGGGCUCAACCUGGGAACUGCAUCCGAAACUGGCAGGCUAGAGUCUUGUAGAGGGGGGUAGAAUUCCAGGUGUAGCGGUGAAAUGCGUAGAGAUCUGGAGGAAUACCGGUGGCGAAGGCGGCCCCCUGGACAAAGACUGACGCUCAGGUGCG